GGGGCAGUAGCUCAGUGGCAGAGUUCCAGCCUCGUAUGCAGGGAGACCUGGGUUCGAUCCUCGGCUGCUUUG
rnacentral:tRNA from 1 species